AGGACGAACGCUGGCGGCGUGCUUAACACAUGCAAGUCGAGCGGAAAGGCCCUUCGGGGUACUCGGGCGGCGAACGGGUGAGUAACACGUGAGUAAUCUGCCCCUAGCUCUGGGAUAGCUCCGGGAAACCGGGAUUAAUACCGGAUACGACCACUUUAGACAUCUGUUGUGGUGGAAAGAAUUUUGGCUAGGGAUGAGCUCGCGGCCUAUCAGCUUGUUGGUGGGGUAACGGCCUACCAAGGCGACGACGGGUA
rnacentral:rRNA from 1 species